AUUGAGCGCUGGCGGCAGGCCUAACACAUGCAAGUCGAGCGGAUGAAGGGAGCUUGCUCCUGGAUUCAGCGGCGGACGGGUGAGUAAUGCCUAGGAAUCUGCCUGGUAGUGGGGGAUAACGUCCGGAAACGGGCGCUAAUACCGCAUACGUCCUGAGGGAGAAAGUGGGGGAUCUUCGGACCUCACGCUAUCAGAUGAGCCUAGGUCGGAUUAGCUAGUUGGUGGGGUAAAGGCCUACCAAGGCGACGAUCCGUAACUGGUCUGAGAGGAUGAUCAGUCACACUGGAACUGAGACACGGUCCAGACUCCUACGGGAGGCAGCAGUGGGGAAUAUUGGACAAUGGGCGAAAGCCUGAUACAGCCAUGCCGCGUGUGUGAAGAAGGUCUUCGGAUUGUAAAGCACUUUAAGUUGGGAGGAAGGGCAGUAAGUUAAUACCUUGCUGUUUUGACGUUACCAACAGAAUAAGCACCGGCUAACUUCGUG
rnacentral:rRNA from 1 species